CUGAAUGUGCAGUUCCUUGAUUGACCUGUCCUGAUGCAGUGCCUGACUGUAGUUCUGCAGCUCCACUGAAGAAGAGGCACUGAGGACUAGAGGCAGCCAGGGGAUUGCAACUCAAAGAGGUUUUCUAGAACCAGUUACUUCCAAAUUAUGUUCAAUUAGGCAACAGAACUAAAGAAUAUGCCUCUGAUCUACUUAUUUCUCAGCCUGAAUGCUGACUUCAUAGACUUUCAAAACAAAGUAAUAGGUGAGGAGCAAAGGAAGUAGUUCUGCUGACGGUUCAGGACCUGCUGUGUGGGUAGGGUGGUUCACUAGUCAUCCUGAAAGGUUUUUGAAGUGAUCGUAUCACCAUGAGAAAAAAAUCCUCACUCUUGAGCUUGAUUAAUGUGAUGAGAAGUGCAUCGCAGGGUAACGAAUGCUGUGUUAUUAGCCACCAAAUGCUCCACACGAUGCUGCAGUCUUUCAGAAGCAAAGGGCACAUUGAAAUAAAAUCACACUAAAAGUGUUCUUCUAGGUUUAUAUCCUAUAAUAGCAAUCGCCGCCUCAAUGCAAGCGUUUCUUAGGAAGGACUGACUGGCUGAGGUUAACUGCCCAGAGUACAGUUGAAGGCCACCAGUUCCUCCCCGCUACUCAUUAAUCCCCAGGAAAUCUCCUGAAUCCUGGCAGUUAUUGUUCAAUCCUUUAUAGACGAUUUUCUGAGUAUUUUGAGUGCUUGUUCUCCCCAGGAACACCUACAGCUGGCCAGAUUGUGUGUGUAUAGAGAAGAAAACUCUUUUUCUUAAAAGUGGAUUGAAUUUCAACCUCCCUAUAAAGACCCCUUAUGGGCCAAUGACUCAGAAAAAGUCACUUUAAUUGCGUUUUGGCUUCUCUCCUUUCUAAGGGAACAAGAGACGAGAGAAGCCAGGGAAAGUCAGGGAGGGAAGACAGAGGAGCCCAGCCACUCACAUUCUUUCUGGCUCCCAGCAAUCACCCAGUCAAAUGUGGGGCUGCUGGUGAGGACAAAAGGACCCGGCAGAACAGGUGCACCUGGGAGGGGGGUUCAGAGCCAAGAGACCAAGAGCCCUCCCUCAGGACAGCCGGGGAGGCCAACUGGACCCCAGACUCAACUCGGCAAAUGGGGGCAACUCCAACGAUCUACUUCCACAACACUGAGUAAUUUCUAGC
rnacentral:lncRNA from 1 species